AGCGUAGACGGAUGGACAAGUCUGAUGUGAAAGGCUGGGGCUCAACCCCCGGGACUGCAUUGGAAACUGCCCGUCUUGAGUGCCGGAGAGGUAAGCGGAAUUCCUAGUGUAGCGGUGAAAUGCGUAGAUAUUAGGAGGAACACCAGUGGCGAAGGCGGCUUACUGGACGGUAACUGACGUUGAGGCUCGAAAGCGUGGGGAGGCAAAACA
rnacentral:rRNA from 1 species